GACGAACGCUGGCGGCGUGCUUAACACAUGCAAGUCGAACGGAAAGGCCCUGCUUGCAGGGUACUCGAGUGGCGAACGGGUGAGUAACACGUGGGUGAUCUGCCCUGCACUUCGGGAUAAGCUUGGGAAACUGGGUCUAAUACCGGAUAGGAGCCAUCUUUAGUGUGGUGGUUGGAAAGUUUUUUCGGUGUAGGAUGAGCUCGCGGCCUAUCAGCUUGUUGGUGGGGUAAUGGCCUACCAAGGCGGCGACGGGUAGCCGGCCUGAGAGGGUGUACGGCCACAUUGGGACUGAGAUACGGCCCAGACUCCUACGGGAGGCAGCAGUGGGGAAUAUUGCACAAUGGGCGCAAGCCUGAUGCAGCGACGCCGCGUGGGGGAUGAAGGCCUUCGGGUUGUAAACUCCUUUCGCUAGGGACGAAGCUUUGUUGUGACGGUACCUAGAGAAGAAGCACCGGCUAACUACGUG
rnacentral:rRNA from 1 species